UACGGGGGGGGCAAGCGUUGUUCGGAAUUACUGGGCGUAAAGGGCUCGUAGGCGGCCAACUAAGUCGGAUGUGAAAUCCCCAGGCUUAACCUGGGAACUGCGUCCGAUACUGGUGGGCUUGAAUCCGGGAGAGGGAUGCGGAAUUCCAGGUGUAGCGGUGAAAUGCGCAGAUAUCAGGAGGAACACCAAUGGCGAAGGCAGCUCACUGGGACGACACGUGACGCUGAGACGCGAAAGCGUGGGGAGCAAACAGG
rnacentral:rRNA from 1 species